rnacentral:lncRNA from 1 species
AGCUAGCUGAGGAACCAAAACUAAACCCCAAGUCUCACUCUUGUCCUUUAUAUAAACGAGGGACUUACACUUUAAGAUUUUGAAGAAUUCAUCCAGCUUGACAAAUUUAUAAACUAUAUGUCUAUAAAACAUGUAUUUACCUUGUAUACAUAUUUGAAGGCUUGAAACUUCACCAAGGAGAUAUAUUUAACAUUUUAAUGAUAAUCAUUUUUCUAAGACAACAAGUAAGUACAUGUUUCCCCACCAUAACAAUUUCAUCUAUGGGUAGGCAUUAGCAAUAUAAUAUCUCACUUUAAAAUCCUACAAUGUGAUUAUUAUUCUUCAGACAUAAAUAAAAAGUACAAUAAUUUUGGACACCAUCAAAAUAACAUUUGCAAACCUUAAGAGUUUUGUAAGUUACAUUAAAGAUGAUUAAUGAUUUGCAUGUAGCAUUCUCAAUGUUGAACAUAAAUAUUCCAAUAUAUCCUUGUUGCUUGAGUGUCCCAGUAUGGGAGGAGGUAGACUUGGCACAUUGAAAGCUAUUCCUAUUCUAAAGAAAUUAUAUGGAAGGUUCAGAAUUCUUCAGAGAAUCAGCUAUAAUAAAAUCCAUGUUAAGAAUUCAUUUUGUAUGAGAGAAUGUGAGAGUAAAAUCCAAAAGAGGUUAAUUUUACCCAGGAGAGAAUUUCAUAUCCUUUUUCAUUUGUCAGAAUAUACUUGAUUCAUAAGUGUUCUUUCACCUACCUAGGGCCACAUAACAGGAAAUUCCACUCAUGGUAUCUCCUAAUAACAACUUUGGUUUUUUUGUAGGCAUUUUGGUCACUUCCCCUUCUCCUCUGGGGCAGGUCCUUUUCCCUUCUGUUGCAAACCAACACAAUAUCAUACAGCCUCCAUGUUGACCCAGCCAAUUAAUUUGUUCAUGGAUCACACUGCGGAUGUAGCCUUACUCUCUAUCGCCAACUUUUGAUGCUAUUUUUUUAUUGAUAAUAAAAGGAACGUUAUUUGGAGAAAUAUUCUUUAGAAGUAUAAAAACCAGAAAAAAUUAAAAACACCCAUAAAAUUCAACCACCCGGAAUUGGCAGAUCCAUUCUAGCCAUUGGGGGGAAAAACAUUUUGGGGUUCCUAUGUACAGUUUGUAUCACUCUUUUCACUAAACAUUAUAAACUUUUGCUGUGCUGCUGAAUACUCUUAAUAAACAUUUAUUAUGUUGACUGCAUACUAGGUCUAUUGUAUAAUCAUGCUAUAAUUUAUUUAACCGAUUUUCUCCUGUUGGACUUUUAGAUAAGUAAGCAUAAAUUUUGCCCACAUUUUAGACUAUUUCUUUAGGACAGAUUCCCAGAAGUGGAAUUAGAGGAUCAGGGGAUAUAAACAUUUUUAAAGCUCCUCCUAAUAGAUACUGCCAAAUUGCUUUUCAGAAAGCUGUUGCCAAUUUACACUUCCAACAUUGCCAGCAUAUUUUUCUACCAAUAUAGAUCCAUGUAAAGGAUAAUAAAAUUUAAGUGGAACAUACAGUCCUCCCAUUAUUAAUGCAGUUGGAGAAGCAUCAUGACCACGGCACAAAGUCUUAGGGCAAAGGUCAUACCUAUUUCCAGGUUUGCAGUUAACAAGGAGUUAGUAUGAGCACAUGGAACAGUGAAGAGUAAAGAGUCAUAUAAUUAGAUUUCAGACUGUCAAAUGUAAGGCCUGUGUCUCUUUUGUUUAUUGCUGUACCUCAGCACACAGGACAGUGCCUGGUACCUCAGCCAUUCAACAUUCAUUGAGUAAAUUAAUACAGAAUAUUCUUUCAGAUAGCCUUUCAGCCAGUGGAGGGUUGAUUUACUCCUGGUUCAAGGGAAAAAUGAUUGGCUGAUCACUCUUAUAAAGUUCUGUUCAACCUUGAGAUUCUAUUGCAACUUUGGAAAUCAGCUUAAGUGAAGGUGAUACAAUAAAGAUCUCUUUAGAGGAAAAACAAGUAUACUCAUCUAAAAGUACAUACUCUGGCACCAGUUACAACAGUUACAAGGUUAAAAAAAAUAUACACACACAGAUAUACAUAUAUACACACAAAUAUAUAUAUACACGAAAAUAUACAUACAUAUACACACCCAUAUAUAGUAUUUAUUUUUAUAAACUUGCAAAAAAAUUUGUGUUUUGCCACCUCCAUAGUACACAUUUUAAUAGGUGAUAACAUAUUCAAAUGCCAUGGUCAAAGCAUUUUCAGAACUACCUUUAGUUNNNNNNNNNNNNNNNNNNNNNNNNNNNNNNNNNNNNNNNNNNNNNNNNNNNNNNNNNNNNNAACUUUGGAAAUCAGCUUAAGUGAAGGUGAUACAAUAAAGAUCUCUUUAGAGGAAAAACAAGUAUACUCAUCUAAAAGUACAUACUCUGGCACCAGUUACAACAGUUACAAGGUUAAAAAAAAUAUACACACACACAUAUACAUAUAUACACACAAAUAUACAUACAUAUACACACCCAUAUAUAGUAUUUAUUUUUAUAAACUUGCAAAAAAAUUUGUGUUUUGCCACCUCCAUAGUACACAUUUUAAUAGGUGAUAACAUAUUCAAAUGCCAUGGUCAAAGCAUUUUCAGAACUACCUUUAGUUCAUUCCAUUAUUGCCAAUUGUAACUUGGCACCAUUUCUAAUAUUGCCAAAAUAGGUUUUGAGAUAUUACAUGGGAAUAACACAGGUGGUAGUUUGCAAAAAAUCAUUUUUAAUCAAAAAGCACAAAAUUCAUUUUGUGAACUGGAAUAUGGUCAAGGUGAAAUAGCCAAUCAUUCAGUUCUCGGUCAUUCUCUUGGUCUCAAGAUUCCACAAUUUCUGUAUAGUAAAUCGUCAGACACUGACAGAUCCGCUUGGCCUUAACAAUGUUAUUGAUGGAAAACAAGCUAUCAUCUGUCAUACACACACACACACACACACACACUAGAUCAGAGGUAGGCAAACUAUGGGCCAUGGGCCAAGUCUGGUACACCACCUGUCUUUCCA